ACUGCAUCUGCUUCUCAUGGUACAUGAGGAGAGCAAGGAGCGCCACAACGGAGUUUGGAGCAGCGAAAGAGGAACAGUGAGGACAAACCAUCCUCAGCGGUCCGCUGGACUACAGUCAGCAACCGCUGUGGUGAGUCAGACGCGACAUUCUAUAUAAGUUUGGAGCAGCGAAAGAGGAACAAUGAGGACAAACCAUCCUCAGCGGUCCGCUAGACUACGGUCAGCAACCGCUGUGGUGAGUCAGACGCGACAUUCUAUAUAAGGUAUGUUUGCUUCUUCCUUCUUUCAUUCUUUCUAAACCUAGCAUCCACUUCCCCACUCUCUUUAAAUUCUACUUCUCCACAUUAUUCACACAGCCAUACUCCAAAUUCACAUCACUGAAUUAAAUUUUUUGGAUUCUACCAAAUUGUUCUUGUACUCAAUUGUCAACCAAUACAAGGUACGUUCUUCUUGUAAUUUCUGAGCUUUGAUCUUGAAUUCUUUCAUUGGAUGACUUUGUUGUUGGUAUAUAUUUUGGUAGUUUAGAUUGGAGUUUGAUGGGGGAUGAUAUACUUUUGAUAAUUUGUUGGUGAAUUUGUGAGUUGAAUUUAUUGGAAUUAAUUAUUGUUGGGUGUGCUUGAAUUAGCUUCUUGUUGUGGAUGAAAUUUGAAUACCCCAUUAACUUGAUUGUUGAUACGCAUAGUUCAUAUUCAUAGCAUUGUGAGACUAUUUUAUAUUGCAGGAUGACUUGUGUAUAUUUUUGAGCUUAUAUUGUUUUACGUGGUCAUGAUAUUGUUGAAAAUUCUUGCAAAUUAUUGGGGGUUGAAAAUUCUUGCAAAUUAUUGGGGGAUAGAGAUCUUGAUGGGGGGAUGAUUUUUGAAUCAAGGUUGAUUUAUUGGUCUUGCAUAUGAUUAUUUUUACACCUUGAUUUGGUUCAAGUUUGGAGGAUUGCCAAAUAUUAUGUUGUGUAUCCUCCUACAAUUUUCUUCAUUCUAUGCUCACAUUGCGAAUUUGUAGGUACAAAGGCAUCCCAACGGAAUUCCCACGAUGGGGGAUAACUCAUGAGCUUCAAAGAACGUCAAGUUAAAGACGAAAAAUAAGCGCUUGUUGGGAGGCAACCCAACCAUUUAUUUGGUCUGUAUCAAUUGAUGCUUUCAUUGAGAGCUCAAACGG